rnacentral:piRNA from 1 species
UACAGGUUGUCCACAGUUCUCUCCAGAGC